CGAAGCAACGCGAAGAACUUACCAGGGCUUGACAUGCCGCUGACCGGUUUAGAGAUAGAUCUUUAUCCUUCGGGGUACAGCGGACACAGGUGGUGCAUGGUUGUCGUCAGCUCGUGUCGUGAGAUGUUGGGUUAAGUCCCGCAACGAGCGCAACCCUUGUCUUUAGUUGCCAUCAUUAAGUUGGGCACUCUAAAGAGACUGCCGAUGACAAAUCGGAGGAAGGUGGGGAUGACGUCAAAUCAUCAUGCCCUUUAUGUCCUGGGCUACACACGUGCUACAAUGGUCGGUACAACGAGAAGCAAGUCAGCGAUGGCAAGCAAAUCUCUAAAAGCCGAUCCCAGUUCGGAUUGCAGGCUGCAACUCGCCUGCAUGAAGUCGGAGUUGCUAGUAAUCGCGGAUCAGAAUGCCGCGGUGAAUACGUUCCCGGGUCUU
rnacentral:rRNA from 2 species